rnacentral:misc_RNA from 1 species
UCGAUUAAACAUCGUCCAUUAUCCGCUGCGGUUACGGUCUCAUUGAUCUCUGGCGUGUUCUAUGGCGCGAGUUAUCUGUAACGACUUGGGUAAUCCCGAAGCAGUGACGUUUAUAUUUUUUUUCGAUAACAAACAGAACGUCUCAACCCAUAAAAGAUUCCUGCAAACAGCUAACCGUAUCAUUCAUGGACAUCCAUCAAACACGACACUGAAAUGGGGAUUGAAACUGAACGAUGAGAAAACACCGAACGCUAUAGGCGUACAAAUUCAAAUUCUGCGAGUGACAUCGGGAGCAUCAAUCUGACCUAAAUUAGAUUUAAUCGAUAAAUCGUGGAACAUAAUCCACUGCAACUGAUUUGAUGAAGUUGAUUUCGAUGAUGCGUAAUAGAAGACAUUCUGAUAUAGCAGCAUUAACCAGAAACGGAUACACCGACUCCCCAAAAUGGCAAUCAUCAUAUGAGCUGGGAAGCAGGCACGAGGGACAUGCAGAAAUUAUAGUAAUUAAUUACGACAGAGCCGCUGCAACAGAUGCAAACAGAAUACCAAUGGAUACCAGUGAAUACCAACUACAUCGUCUCGCAUAGCUUCCCAUCGAUUUUUAUAAUGAAUAUUCGAUAGAAAUGUCUGAUACACUGGAUAUCGAAGUAAUAGACAAUGCCUCGCACAGUCAAAGUGAAGAAAGCUUUACAAAGAGCGGCCUAUAAAUAAAAUAAUCCUUUCAGCCACAAUAAACUUACAUAAAAUCAUUAAAGUGUUGUAUGAACUUCAUGUCAUGUUUACAUUACAAUAGUAAAAUUUUUACGUUCAAUGAGAUUAAUUAAAAUUCUAAGUAUUAUAGCUUGCAAAAAAGUUGCAAUUAAAAAUUGUCCUCGU